rnacentral:rRNA from 1 species
UACAGAGGUCUCAAGCGUUGUUCGGAUUCAUUGGGCGUAAAGGGUGCGUAGGCGGCGCGGUAAGUUUGGUGUGAAAUCUCCCGGCUCAACUGGGAGGGUGCGCCGAAUACUGAGGGACUAGAGUACGGGAGAGGAAAGUGGAAUUCCUGGUGUAGCGGUGAAAUGCGUAGAUAUCAGGAGGAACACCGGUGGUGUAGACGGCUUUCUGGACCGACACUGACGCUGAGACACGAAAGCGUGGGUAGCAAACAGG